rfam:TPA: Bos taurus chromosome 8, whole genome shotgun sequence.
UCCCCGGAGGUCCAGUGGUUAAGACACUGUGCUGCCACUGCAGGGGAUGCGGGUUUGAUCCCUGUUCUGGGAA